rnacentral:rRNA from 1 species
AGCGAACGCUGGCGGCAGGCCUAACACAUGCAAGUCGAACGAAGUCUUCGGACUUAGUGGCGGACGGGUGAGUAACACGUGGGAACGUGCCUUUAGGUUCGGAAUAACUCAGGGAAACUUGUGCUAAUACCGAAUGUGCCCUUCGGGGGAGAGAUUUAUCGCCUUUAGAGCGGCCCGCGUCUGAUUAGCUAGUUGGUGAGGUAAAGGCUCACCCAGGCUACGAUCAGUAGCUGGUCUGAGAGGAUGACCAGCCACAUUGGGACUGAGACACGGCCCAAACUCCUACGGGAGGCAGCAGUGGGGAAUCUUGCGCAAUGGGCGAAAGCCUGACGCAGCCAUGCCGCGUGGAUGAUGAAGGUCUUAGGAUUGUAAAAUCCUUUCACCGGUGAAGGUAAUGACUGUAGCCGGAGAAGAAGCCCCGGCUAACUUCGUGCCAGCCGCCGCCGUAA